CGCGAGGGGUACCGGUACAGGCGCAGCCUACCAUGCAAGUCGAGCGGUAGCACAGAGAGCUUGCUCUCGGGUGACGAGCGGCGGACGGGUGAGUAAUGUCUGGGAAACUGCCUGAUGGAGGGGGAUAACUACUGGAAACGGUAGCUAAUACCGCAUAACGUCGCAAGACCAAAGUGGGGGACCUUCGGGCCUCAUGCCAUCAGAUGUGCCCAGAUGGGAUUAGCUAGUAGGUGGGGUAACGGCUCACCUAGGCGACGAUCCCUAGCUGGUCUGAGAGGAUGACCAGCCACACUGGAACUGAGACACGGUCCAGACUCCUACGGGAGGCAGCAGUGGGGAAUAUUGCACAAUGGGCGCAAGCCUGAUGCAGCCAUGCCGCGUGUGUGAAGAAGGCCUUCGGGUUGUAAAGCACUUUCAGCGGGGAGGAAGGCGUUAAGGUUAAUAACCUUGUCGAUUGACGUUACCCGCAGAAGAAGCACCGGCUAACUCCGUGCCAGCAGCCGCGGUAAUACGGAGGGUGCAAGCGUUAAUCGGAAUUACUGGGCGUAAAGCGCACGCAGGCGGUCUGUCAAGUCGGAUGUGAAAUCCCCGGGCUCAACCUGGGAACUGCAUUCGAAACUGGCAGGCUAGAGUCUUGUAGAGGGGGGUAGAAUUCCAGGUGUAGCGGUGAAAUGCGUAGAGAUCUGGAGGAAUACCCGGUGGCGAAGGCGGCCCCCUGGACAAAGACUGACGCUCAGGUGCGAAAGCGUGGGGAGCAAACAGGAUUAGAUACCCUGGUAGUCCACGCCGUAAACGAUGUCGAUUUGGAGGUUGUGCCCUUGAGGCGUGGCUUCCGGAGCUAACGCGUUAAAUCGACCGCCUGGGGAGUACGGCCGCAAGGUUAAAACUCAAAUGAAUUGACGGGGGCCCGCACAAGCGGUGGAGCAUGUGGUUUAAUUCGAUGCAACGCGAAGAACCUUACCUGGUCUUGACAUCCACAGAACUUUCCAGAGAUGGAUUGGUGCCUUCGGGAACUGUGAGACAGGUGCUGCAUGGCUGUCGUCAGCUCGUGUUGUGAAAUGUUGGGUUAAGUCCCGCAACGAGCGCAACCCUUAUCCUUUGUUGCCAGCGGUUAGGCCGGGAACUCAAAGGAGACUGCCAGUGAUAAACUGGAGGAAGGUGGGGAUGACGUCAAGUCAUCAUGGCCCUUACGACCAGGGCUACACACGUGCUACAAUGGCAUAUACAAAGAGAAGCGACCUCGCGAGAGCAAGCGGACCUCAUAAAGUAUGUCGUAGUCCGGAUUGGAGUCUGCAACUCGACUCCAUGAAGUCGGAAUCGCUAGUAAUCGUAGAUCAGAAUGCUACGGUGAAUACGUUCCCGGGCCUUGUACACACCGCCCGUCACACCAUGGGAGUGGGUUGCAAAAGAAGUAGGUAGCUUAACCUUCGGGAGGGCGCUUACCACUUUUUAAUUACGUGA
rnacentral:rRNA from 1 species